GGGGAGGCAAGGAUGAAAAGAUGCAUAUAAUCUCUAUUUGUAUGUUUUAUUGUACCACUGCUCUUCACUUAUAAAACAGACAUUCAAACAAAAACUAGAAAGUUUCAAGAUGGUGACUAAUGAACAUUAAAUCAAGCACUGGGCCCUGUGUGGCUGCACAGGUUGCCUGCCCAUGAAGUUGGCCCUGAUCUCCGAGUUUCUCAAGGGACCUUCUGACAUUUUGGUGAAACAGUUCUCCAUACAGGACAUUACAUCCACAUUCAUGUUGCCUGGGCACUACAUUACUACUGUGACAAUCAGAAAUGUCCAAUAAUUUCUAAAUGCAAAAAAGGAAGAGUUACUGCUCUCUACUGAUCUAGAGUGGAAUCCACUGUAGCUAUGAACCAUGACAACUACAGAUGUGAGAAAGGCCCUCUCCAGUUUUCAUUAGCAAUUCUGAAGCAGAAUAAAAAUACAACAGAGCUGAGUUUAAAGGAUUUCUAAUUCUCAUGCCCAGGACAGCAGAAUUAUGAUGAUCUUGCCUCCCUCCAUUGUCAGAGAAAUAAUACCACCUACAUUGAUAGUGAAACAAAUUCUUGGGAUAAACAUUUAAAGGUAAUUCAUGAGUUUUAUGUGUUUGUGAUGUUGUGAUAUAGAUAUAUAGCUAUAGAUAUAGACUGGCCACCAGAAUGAUCAAAGCAGGAUUAGAGGGUUGAGACUUUCAGUCCCAUCCUCCAACUUCUGGGUAGUGGUGAGGGGCUGGACAUUGACUAGAGCACCAAUGGUCAGUGAUUUAAUGGUCAUACCAGUUUAAUAAAGCCUCUAUAAAAAGGAUAGGACAGAGGACUUCCCAAGAGCUUAACACAUGUAGGUUCCUGAGUGGUGAGGUGCCCAGAGGGCUUGGAAGCCUCAUACCCUUUCAACCAUAUCUUGCCUUAUUCAUCUCUUCAUCUGAUGUACACCAGUAUCCUUUGUAAUAAAUCCCUUAUAAUAAAUUGGUGAACCUACAUGUUUCCUCAAGUUCUGCAAGCCACUCUAGGACAUUAAUUGAACCCAAAGAAGAACUUAAAGCCAGUCAACAAUACAAGUACAACAACCUGAAUCUUGCUAUUGGCCACUGAAGGGCAAUGGUGUAAGAGUUGCAGUCUUGGUGGCUGAGCCCUCACCUGUGGCAUCUUAUACUACCUCCAGGUAGAUAGUGUCAGAAUUGAAUUGAAUUAGAGGAUACCCUGUUGGGGUCCUCUGCUUGCU
rnacentral:lncRNA from 1 species